rnacentral:rRNA from 1 species
UGAAAUAAACCUGAUGAGUUGCUGCUGGUUCUCUAGGGAGCAUGUGCACACUUGUCAUCUUUAUAUCUCCACCUGUGAACCUUUUGUAGACCUGGAUUAUCUCUCUGAAUCUGCUUGUCAAAUUCAGGUUUGAGGAUUGAUUUCCUUGCAUUUUCAGGUCUAUGUUUUUCAUAUACCCCAUGUAUGUUUUUAGAAUGUAAUAAAUUGGCCUUUGUGCCUAUAAACUUAUACAACUUUCAGCAACGGAUCUCUUGGCUCUCGCAUCGAUGAAGAACGCAGCGAAAUGCGAUAAGUAAUGUGAAUUGCAGAAUUCAGUGAAUCAUCGAAUCUUUGAACGCACCUUGCGCUCCUUGGUAUUCCGAGGAGCAUGCCUGUUUGAGUGUCAUUAAUAUAUCAACCCUCUUCAGCUUUUGGCAUGUCGAGUGUUGGAUGUGGGGGUUAUUUUUUGCUGGCCUUUUUCGAGGUCAGCUCCCCUAAAAUACAUUAGCAAAACAAUUUGUUUACUGCUCAUUGGUGUGAUAAUUAUCUACGCUAUUGGCAGUAAAGUAACAGUUUAGCUCCUAAUAGUCCAUUGACUUGGACAAACUUUCAUCAAUGUGACCUCAAAUCAGGUAGGAUUACCCGCUGAACUUAAGCAUAUCAAUAAGCGGAGGAA